AUUAGAGUUUGAUCCUGGCUCAGAAUGAACGCUGGCGGCGUGCCUAACACAUGCAAGUCGAACGAGAAAGCCAGCAAUGGUGAGUACAGUGGCGCACGGGUGAGUAAUACAUAGGAAUCUGCCUCUGAGUGGAGAAUACCCUAGAGAAAUUUAGGUUAAUACUGCAUAAGCCCGCAAGGGGAAAGGUGGCCUCAAGCUGCCGCUGAGAGAUGAGCCUAUGGCCUAUUAGCUAGUUGGAGAGGUAAAAGCUCACCAAGGCGAAGAUGGGUAGCCGGCCUGAGAGGGUGUACGGCCACACUGGAACUGAGACACGGUCCAGACUCCUACGGGAGGCAGCAGUGGGGAAUCUUGCACAAUGGGCGAAAGCCUGAUGCAGCGACGCCGCGUGGAGGAUGACGGUCUUCGGAUUGUAAACUCCUGUUAAGUGGGAAGAAAGAUCCAUACCUAAUACGUAUGGAGGAUGACGGUACCACUAGAGAAAGCACCGGCAAACUUCGUGCCAGCAGCCGCGGUAAUACGAAGGGUGCUAGCGUUAUUCGGAUUAACUGGGCGUAAAGAGCGUGUCGGCGGUCUUUUAAGUCAACUGUAAAAGAGCUCGGCUUAACCGAGUAAAUGCGGGUGAUACUGGAAGACUAGAGUACUGGAGAGAAAGGUAGAAUUCUCGGAGUAGCGGUAAAAUGCGUAGAUCUCGAGAGGAAUACCGGUUGCGAAGGCGGCCUUUUGGUCAGUAACUGACGCUUAAGCGCGAAAGCGUGGGGAGCAAACAGGAUUAGAUACCCUGGUAGUCCACGCCGUAAACGAUGAUCACUAGAUGUGGGUCGUGCAUAGCAUGAUCUGUGUCGUAGCUAACGCGUUAAGUGAUCCGCCUGGGAAU
rnacentral:rRNA from 1 species